AUAACAAUACAGGACUCUUUCGAGGCCCUGUAAUUGGAAUGAGUACACUUUAAAUCCUUUAAUGAGGAUCUAUUGGAGGGCAAGUCUGGUGCAGAGCGACUGACCCGUGCGUGCUGCAA